GGAUCUUUUUCUCCUGCCUAUAUUACUAGAACAAAGCAACGAUUCCAUGGGCAGAGGGGUCCCUGUCUGUGUUGGAGAAGAAUUUCAUUCUUGUGCUGUGGUUUCUCCCUGAAGAUGAGACUUUCACAUUUGAUUUGAAGAAAUGAUUGGUUAUAGGAAAAAGGCAAGGGGGAAAAGGCAAACAUCUGUCUUACAGGUUAACUUUUAAAUUAUACUGUUUGGUUUUGUCAUGCAAUACCCGGCUUUUAACUCGCCAGUGAAGUCUGCAAGGCAGGGCUUUGCAUCUAUUUUUAUCCCGUACACUCUAUCCCUAGUUCAGAAUAAGAUUGCUGGCUUCUUCCAGAACUCUUGUCCACACUCAGCCCUAAAGCAGGAAGUUCAGGGGUUAAAUUGGCUUUUCCUGGAUUGAGGGUAGAGAAGGUGCUGGGGAGAGGCAUCCAGGCAGGAUCGCUCAGGGGAAGAAGGUGACAGCAGAUGUGGAAAGGCUGGACUCUUAACCAGCCAAGUGUCAGGGCAGAGUAAGCCUUAGAGAACGGCAGCUGCCCCUGUGCCGGAGCGCGGAACAGACCAGGGAGGCCAGCUGGGGCGGUGUCUUUGGGACAGAAGGGGGCAAGGUCACACACAGCCGGACACAGACUCUUAGCUGGCUCUCCAUGUCAGCAUGAGCGGGAACCAGGGUCCUGGGCAACGGCACAUCAACCUAUCAGGAUUCAUGGGAUCUUACUUCUUAAUUGUAAAGAGUUAAAAGGAUGAAUUUGGACAGUGAUGGAAUGGAUGACAUCAUCAGUCAAGAAUCCCCAUUGGAUACGGAGGGGAAUUAUAAAAAGGUGAAUGGAAAUGACUGCUUGAGAUAAACUGCAAUAAACAGGAACACAGAAUGCCAGCUGCCAUUCCAGACGAGAGCUCUGCCCGCCCCACGCAAUUACUGAGGAAAAGCAGCCGUCGACCUCUGCACCCUCACGUCUUCCUAUCUGUGAGGCUGAAUGCGCUUGAGGAACUCCGCUAAGCUACUGAACCCUUGGCGGCCCCACCUCAACCCCCCAGGAACAAUCUCUUCCACUCUCUGGGCCAGAGUCUCCUUUUCUUUCAAGGGAGAAAUUGGCCGGAUUGGUUUUAGGUCUUGUAAAUAUGAAGCCUCUUGGCUCCUCGUUCAGGCUUCUUUGCAUCUUAUCACCUGGUUGGUACACCUUGGUGAGCCAGCGUGAUCAGGGAAUGAGUUCUUUCAGAACCCAUAAAUUUUUUGGAUAUAUGAUAUGUGGAUUUUGUCUCAGUUUAAAAAAGACUCACACACACAGUUUGUGGGAGGGAGAGUACAGUUUAUUUAUUAACUGAGAUACAAUUCACAUACCUUAAGAUUCACAUUUCCAAGUGUACACUUUGAUGGUUUUCAUUAUAUUCAUAGGGUUCUACAAACCACUGCUAUCUAAUUCAGAAUGUUUUCAUCAGCUCCCCUCCUAAAAUAAGCCUGUCCCCAUUAGUAAUUACUCCUAAUUCCUACCCACCCACCCCCC